rfam:Biomphalaria glabrata isolate BB02 linkage group LG17 unlocalized genomic scaffold LG17_random_Scaffold451, whole genome shotgun sequence.
AUGGCUGAGCAGUAAAGCGCUUGGCUUCCGAACCGGGCGUCCCGGGUUCGAAUCCUGGU